AUACUGGAUGCACUUUGUAAAUUCACAAGUCCUGAAAAUAUGGACAUUUUAAAACUUGUGAACUUACGAACAAAUUGCAGUUAUUUCUUGUCUAAUUAAUUAGACAUAUUUAACAUCCCAAGUUCACCAACCAGUCUAGAGAAAGUGGAUUCGUCUAGUGGUUUAGUGAAGAUGUCUGCAAUUUGUUGAUCAGUAGGUACGAAGUGUAACUCUACUGUUCCAUUCAUGACAUGCUCGCGAAGGAAAUGAUACCUGAUAUCAAUAUGCUUUGUCCUGGAGUGUUGAACAGGAUUGUUGGCAAUGGCAAUGGCACUCGUGUUAUCACACAGAAUCGGAAUUUUAUCCAACAUGAGUUGUUAUCACACAGAAUCGGAAUUUUAUCCAACAUGAGUCCAUAAUCUUGUAGUUGACUCCUCAUCCACAAGAUUUGAGCACAGCAACUUCCAGCAGCUAUGUAUUCAGCUUCCGCUGUAGACGUAGACACGGAGUGUUGCUUCUUGCUAUACCAUGACACCAACCUUCGUCCAAGAAACUGACAGCUUCCUGAAGUACUUUUCCUAUCAAUCUUACAUCCUGCAAAGUCGGAAUCUGUAUAGCCAACUAGAUUAAAACCUGUAUCUUUAGGGUACCAAAUCCCUAGAUUGGGGGUUCCCUUAAGAUACCUAAAAAUACGCUUAACAGCUAUAAGAUGUGACUCUUUAGGAUCAGCCUGGAAUCUAGCACAUAAACAAGUUGCGAACAUGAUAUCUGGUCUACUAGCAGUUAAGUAUAAGAGAGAGCCAAUCAUACCUCGAUACUUAGUGAUGUCAACUGACUUACCAGAUUUGUCCUGAUCAAGUUUGACAGCAGUUGGCAUAGGGGUUUUGGCAGUAGAUGCUUCUUCCAUUCCAUAUUUCUUCAGAAGAUCCUUGAUGUAUUUAGAUUGGCAGAUAAAAAUACCGUCAGGCUUCUGAAUGACUUGAAGUCCUAGGAAGAAGGACAAUUCUCCCAUCAUGCUCAUCUCAUACUUGCUCUGCAUUAACUUAGCAAAUCUCUCGCACAAAAGAUCAUUAGUAGAACCAAAUAUAAUGUCAUCGACAUAUACUUGUACAAGAAUUAUAUCAUCCUUAUGCUUUUUAUGGAAAAGAGUUUUAUCGAUGAUACCUCUGGUGAAACCAUUUUCAAGUAAGAACUUGGAAAGAGUGUCAUACCAGGUUCGAGGGGCUUGCUUCAGGCCAUAGAGUGCUUUGAAGAGAAAGUAUACGAAGUCUUCAAAUUCUUUGUCUUCAAACCCAGGGGGUUGUUCAACAUAGACUUCCUCUUCCAGAUCACCAUUCAGGAAUGCACUUUUCACAUCCAUCUGAUAUACUUUGAAGUUGGAGUGUGCAGCAAAUGCUAAGAACAUCCUGAUUG
rnacentral:lncRNA from 1 species